rnacentral:rRNA from 1 species
GUACGGGGGAGCAAGCGUUGUUCGGAUUUACUGGGCGUAAAGGGCGCGUAGGCGGUCGUGACAAGUCACUUGUGAAAUCUCUGGGCUUAACCCAGAACGGCCAAGUGAAACUGUUGUGCUAGAGUGCAGAAGGGGCAAUCGGAAUUCUCGGUGUAGCGGUGAAAUGCGUAGAUAUCGAGAGGAACACCAAUUGCGAAGGCAGCUCGCUGGGACGUCACUGACGCUGAGACGCGAAAGCGUGGGGAGCAAACAGG